rnacentral:rRNA from 1 species
UACAGAGGUCUCAAGCGUUGUUCGGAAUUACUGGGCGUAAAGGGCUGGUAGGCGGCCAACUAAGUCGGAUGUGAAAUCCCCAGGCUUAACCUGGGAACUGCAUCCGAUACUGGUCGGCUUGAAUCCGGGAGAGGGAUGCAGAAUUCCAGGUGUAGCGGUGAAAUGCGUAGAUAUCUGGAGGAAUACCGGUGGCGAAGGCGGCAUCCUGGACCGGCAUUGACGCUGAACAGCGAAAGCUAGGGGAGCAAACGGG